rnacentral:lncRNA from 1 species
GUGGACUCCCAGAGGCUAAAGGAGUCAAGUGGAAAACAGUUUAGUCAGCCCCUAGGUGACCACAGUACAGCAUCUGGGAGAAGGUAUGCUGAUUCUCCUUCUAAGGCAGUUGAGAGAUAUUCUCUUUUUUUUCCCGGCUUUAUUGAAGUAUAAUUGGUUACAAAAAACUGUGCAUAAUAAAUGUAUACAUUUUGGUGAGUUUGGACAUAAGUAUACACUUUUGUUACCAUCACUGCAAUCUAGGUAACAAACAUCUAGCCAUCACCUCCAAAAGUUUCCUUAUGGCCCCCUGCCUUUUGUUUUCUUGUGGUAACAUGAGAUUUACCCUCUCAACAGAUUUUUAAGUACACAAUACUUUAUUGUCACUAUGGGCACUGUGUUGGACAGCAGAUCUCUGAAACUUACUUGUGUUACUACUGACUCACUGAUUGUCACAAUCUUUUGAAAUUGAGCCAUUGAUUGAUCAGCAGAAGGGGCAUGAAGCUUUGUGUGGAAACACUGGGUCUUCUAUGUCCUACACAUACACACACGCAUAAUUAAACUAGCUGUAGAAUAAUUGCCUUCAAAAGUUAAUCACUGACUAGAACCAGGAAGACAAUUCUUGGCUGCUUUCAAUACUAUCAACAUGCGCCUGUAGACAUCUGCAUAUACUCCCAUGAUUCCCUGGAGAAUUCACUGGGUGUGGAGGAAGAAACUGCUUCAAGCAGUGAUCUGACCCGUGACCAGAAAUCGGGCUCCAUCAAAGGACAAAGUUGCAGACACUCUGUCAGAUGCAAUCUCAGCUGUUCAGCAGGAAAAGCUACUAGAAGCAGGAGAGGGGCCACCUGCCUGGGUCCCUGGACUGUAUAUCUACCUGGCAGGUGUGAAACACCACCACCACCACUACCAACAACAACAACAAAGACUCAUGCUUACCCCAAAUCCAUCUGUCUCCUGUCUAAAAACACACCACCCAUGGAAACAUUAUUUGAGUUUUGUGAAGUUCUGAAAGCUGUGGUUAUAUAUAAACAGACACCAAUGGAGAAAGAUGGGUAUACAAAUGGCAGGUUCCUGACUAUAAUGAGGGGAUGACCAGUCAGAUGUAAUGCCAGUUGUACUUGAAGGUGAUAAGCAAAUUAAACCCCAAACAAUUCAAGAUUUAAAGUAAUUAAAACCAGAACAAAAGAACAUAAACUAUCAAACAUACAGAAUAUAAACUAUCUUUUAUUUAUAAGAAUAAAUGAAAGAAGAAUAUGAACUCUCA